CCCGCUUUCUCCAAUCUGCUAGAC
rnacentral:siRNA from 1 species